GACGAACGCUGGCGGCGUGCCUAAUACAUGCAAGUCGAACGAAGCUGUUUUAACUGGUGCUUGCACCGACUUAAACAACUGAGUGGCGAACGGGUGAGUAACACGUGGGUAACCUGCCCCAAGGCGGGGGAUAACAUUUGGAAACAGAUGAUAAUACCGCAUAACCACAGAAACCACAUGGUUUCUGUGUCAAAGAUGGUUUCGGCUAUCACUUUGGGAUGGACCCGCGGCGUAUUAGCUAGUUGGUAAGGUAAUGGCUUACCAAGGCAAUGAUACGUAGCCGAACUGAGAGGUUGAUCGGCCACAUUGGGACUGAGACACGGCCCAAACUCCUACGGGAGGCAGCAGUAGGGAAUCUUCCACAAUGGACGAAAGUCUGAUGGAGCAACGCCGCGUGAGUGAAGAAGGUUUUCGGAUCGUAAAACUCUGUUGUCAGAGAAGAACGUGUGCGAGAGUAACUGUUCGUGCAGUGACGGUAUCUGGCCAGAAAGCCACGGCUAACUACGUGCCAGCCGCCGCCGUAA
rnacentral:rRNA from 1 species